rnacentral:sRNA from 1 species
AAAAAAAAUGUUACGCUUUAAAUUUGUCUUUAAAGACAUACCUCGAUAAACUUAUCAACAUCAAAAGAAUCUUCUUGGUUUUCCUCCGACAUAGACAAUUUAGUGUUCUGCUCCGAGCUGCUGCUCUGGCUUUCACUCUCAAUCUUUGUAACUGAAAAUAGAUUAGUUUUGUUAGAGAGAAAUAGAAUCCAACACCAAUAAAAAGAAGAAGGGAAAAGCUCUUAAAUACAUUUACCUUCUACUUCUCCUUCUUCUAGGAAGCUACCUGCAAACAAAACAAACCCAAAUUCAGUUCAAUUCCGGCUAACUAUCUAGAUAUUAUGAACACAUGUAUAUUGACAAAUCUCGUCUUACCUUGAAAUUCACUAUUACUCGACUCUAUGCCUCCCUCGGCCUGAAAAUGGAUAUAAAAUGCAUGCAAGUCAAUUUGAUCUCUCCUUUCUUGUUAUCCCUCUUUGACUGUGUUACGUACGGUACGUAUAAAGAACAGUUUGUUUAAUUAUGGUUUUACGUACCUGACAAGAAACCUCAUUGAAGCUUGAGAGAAAGAGACACACUGCUAAACCCAAAACCACAUAUUUCCUUCCCAUAGCAGAGUUUGUCAUUACAAAGAAAAAAUUAUACACACUGCUUCCUUAAUCUUUAAAAUUGAGUUUGUUUGAUGUUUGAAGCAGAACAUGAUGUCUUUAAAUAGACCGAAUGUCUGUUUUAAAAUAAGAAAACUAAAAAAGAAAUAAUACAUAAUUACAUCAAGAAACAUAAAUAUAUAAAUAUUAAUAUAUCUACAUAUACUUUUAUGGUAAAGAUUUUGGUCCAAAAAUCUCUAAAAUAAA